CCAUUCGUACUAUUCCAAGGAG
rnacentral:siRNA from 1 species